GCUCCGGUGGUGUAGCCCGGCCAAUCAUGUGGGACUCUCACUCCCACGACUCGGGUUCAAAUCCCGACCGGAGCA
rnacentral:tRNA from 1 species